UGCCCUUUACUCGGAGAUAGCCUUUCAAAAGAAAGAUUAAUACCCGAUAGCAUAAUGAUUCCGCAUGGUUUCAUUAUUAAAGGAUUCCGGUAAAGGAUGGGGAUGCGUUCCAUUAGGUUGUUGGUGAGGUAACGGCUCACCAAGACUUCCAUGGAUAGGGGUUCUGAGAGGAAGGUCCCCCACAUUGGAACUGACACACGGUCACAAACUCCUACAGGAGGCAGCAGUGAGGAAUAUUGGUCAAUGGGCGUUAUCCUGAACCAGCCAAGUAGCGUGAAGGAUGAAGGCUCUAUGGGUCGUAAACUUCUUUUAUAUAAAAAUAAAGUGCAGUAUGUAUACUGUUUUGUAUGUAUUAUAUGAAUAAAGAUCGGCUAACUCCGUGCCAGCAGCCGCGGUAAUACCGAGGAUCCGAGCGUUAUCCGGAUUUAUUGGGUUUAAAGGGAGCGUACGUGGACUGGUAAGUCAGUUGUGAAAGUUUGCGGCUCAACCGUAAAAUUGCAGUUGAUACUGUCAGUCUUGAAUACAGUAGAGGUGGGCGGAAUUCCUGGUGUAGCGGUGAAAUGCUUAGAUAUCACGAAGAACUCCGAUUGCGAAGGCAGCUCACUGGACUGCAACUGACACUGAUGCUCGAAAGUGUGGGUAUCAAACAGGAUUAGAUACCCUGGUAGUCCACACAGUAAACGAUGAAUACUCGCUGUAUGCGAUAUACAGUAAGCGGCCAAGCGAAAGCA
rnacentral:rRNA from 1 species